rnacentral:rRNA from 1 species
AGCAUCGGCUAACUCCGUGCCAGCAGCCGCGGUAAUACGGAGGAUGCGAGCGUUAUCCGGAUUUAUUGGGUUUAAAGGGUGCGUAGGCGGCGAGUUAAGUCAGCGGUAAAAGCCCGGGGCUCAACCCCGGCCCGCCGUUGAAACUGGCUGGCUUGAGUUGGGGAAAGGCAGGCGGAAUGCGCGGUGUAGCGGUGAAAUGCAUAGAUAUCGCGCAGAACCCCGAUUGCGAAGGCAGCCUGCCGGCUCCACACUGACGCUGAGGCACGAAAGCGUGGGUAUCGAAC